rnacentral:rRNA from 1 species
CCUACGGGGGGCAGCAGUGGGGAAUAUUGCACAAUGGGGGAAACCCUGAUGCAGCGACGCCGCGUGAGUGAAGAAGUAAUUCGUUAUGUAAAGCUCUAUCAGCAGGGAAGAAAAUGACGGUACCUGUGUAAGAAGCCCCGGCUAACUACGUGCCAGCAGCCGCGGUAAUACGGAGGGGGCAAGCGUUAUCCGGAUUUACUGGGUGUAAAGGGAGCGUAGACGGCAUGGCAAGUCAGGAGUGAAAGGCGGGGGCUCAACCCCCGGACUGCACUUGAAACUGGACGGCUGGAGUGCAGGAGAGGUAAGUGGAAUUCCUAGUGUAGCGGUGAAAUGCGUAGAUAUUAGGAGGAACACCAGUGGCGAAGGCGGCUUACUGGACUGUAACUGACGUUGAGGCUCGAAAGCGUGGGGAGCAAACAGGAUUAGAUACCCCUGUAGUC